rnacentral:tRNA from 1 species
CGGAGUGGGGCUCAGUAGUAGAGCACUUGCCUAGCAUCUGCAAGAGCUUGGGUUCCACCCCAAGCACUCCAA